AUAGCGCCAUCUAUUGGUGGACCACGAUACAUGCAAGCAUGAAUUGCUUGAUGAGCUGAUCGUGUUAAGUCCAGAUCAAAAUAGACAAGCGAUUACCUUUUUGAGUAGGAUUAAUUGUCAAAUUUUCGAAAAAAAAGGUCUUUGUUGUUGGUUUUGGCUGGAAGAAAAAUGGUUAGCAGGUUAUGUGCAGAACCUAAUUAAAACAAAAAAAAUAGUGGAGAAGUGCAUGUGCUUUAACAACAAUAAAAGAAAAGGGAAAAGUACAUCAGUGAAGUGGUUGGUGUAGUCAGAUGCUUAAAACGUACUUUGCACCUUGCCGUCCACUUGUAGCUGUUUGUCCACUAGAGGAAUUUGCCAACUGGCGUAAAUAAACCAAGUGCCGUUUUCCAGAUUAGGAUUCGGCACUCCGUCAUAAAUUAUAAUAACUCAAUCCUAAUUUAUAUAAUAACCCAGUUAUAAGUUACAUAAAACUCAGACAUAAAUUAU